rnacentral:rRNA from 1 species
UAGGGAAUCUUCGGCAAUGGACGAAAGUCUGACCGAGCAACGCCGCGUGAGUGAAGAAGGUUUUCGGAUCGUAAAACUCUGUUGUUAGAGAAGAACAAGGACGUUAGUAACUGAACGUCCCCUGACGGUAUCUAACCAGAAAGCCACGGCUAACUACGUGCCAGCAGCCGCGGUAAUACGUAGGUGGCAAGCGUUGUCCGGAUUUAUUGGGCGUAAAGCGAGCGCAGGCGGUUUCUUAAGUCUGAUGUGAAAGCCCCGGCUCAACCGGGGAGGGUCAUUGGAAACUGGGAGACUUGAGUACAGAAGAGGAGAGUGGAAUUCCAUGUGUAGCGGUGAAAUGCGUAGAUAUAUGGAGGAACACCAGUGGCGAAGGCGGCUCUCUGGUCUGUAACUGACGCUGAGGCUCGAAAGCGUGGGGAGCAAACAGG